rnacentral:rRNA from 1 species
UACGGGGGGGGCUAGUGUUAUUCAGAAUAAUUGGGCGUAAAGGGUACGUAGGCGGUUAAAUUGGCUCGGGCUUAGGCCAUAGGCUUAACCUAUGGACGGCCUCGCAGCUGUUUUGACUUUGAGUCGGAUAGGGAAGAGUGGAAUUUCUAGUGGAGAGAUUAAAUUCAUAGAUAUCAGGAGGAACACCGGUGGCGAAGGCGGCCUUCUGGACGGUAACUGACGCUGAGACGCGAAAGCGUGGGGAGCAAACAGG